UGUCAGAAGUGGGAUUCGAACCCACGCCUACGAUCUGAACACGAGCCUUAGACCGCUCGGCCAUCCUGAU